rnacentral:rRNA from 1 species
UGGGGAAUUUUGGACAAUGGGCGAAAGCCUGAUCCAGCAAUGCCGCGUGUGUGAAGAAGGCCUUCGGGUUGUAAAGCACUUUUGUCCGGAAAGAAAUCCUUGGCUCUAAUACAGUCGGGGGAUGACGGUACCGGAAGAAUAAGCACCGGCUAACUACGUGCCAGCAGCCGCGGUAAUACGUAGGGUGCAAGCGUUAAUCGGAAUUACUGGGCGUAAAGCGUGCGCAGGCGGUUUGCUAAGACCGAUGUGAAAUCCCCGGGCUCAACCUGGGAACUGCAUUGGUGACUGUCAGGCUAGAGUAUGGCAGAGGGGGGUAGAAUUCCACGUGUAGCAGUGAAAUGCGUAGAGAUGUGGAGGAAUACCGAUGGCGAAGGCAGCCCCCUGGGCCAAUACUGACGCUCAUGCACGAAAGCGUGGGGGAGCAAAACAGGAUUAGAUACCCUGGUAGUCCACGCCCUAAACGAUGUCAACUAGGUUGUUGGGGGAUUCAUUUCCUUAGUAACGUAGCUAACGCGUGAAGUUGACCG